rnacentral:lncRNA from 1 species
CACUGCCACUAUGUCACCCCGGGAAUGUUCCAACACAGCCCCCAUUCCCCCCUACUGCCUGAGUCAGUUUAUAAACUGCCAGUUUCUAAGCCCAUCACAUUCUAUUCCUGGAAGCCCAACUCCUCAGCUGUGCGCUCUGACGUAACAGAUCUAAAAUGAGUCUUCAGUGACAAGGUGGUGCAUGAAUGAUGUGACAUCCUGACACCCUGAAGAAGUUCCUCAAGACAGAAGAUUUCUAGUAUCCUAUGCAAAGCACCAUUCACCAGCCAAAAUUUAACCUGCCCAGCCCUACUAAUGUAGAAUGCUACAUAUAGGUUCACUUCUCACUCUCUUUGAAUGCUGGAUAAAGAGUUGAUGUAUACUGUGGAGAACUAAUCAAAUGAAAAUAGAACAAUAAAAGCUAUGUAAAUUUUGG